GUGGGGAAUUUUGGACAAUGGGCGCAAGCCUGAUCCAGCAAUGCCGCGUGCAGGAAGAAGGCCUUCGGGUUGUAAACUGCUUUUGUACGGAACGAAAAGGCUCUGGUUAAUACCUGGGGCUCAUGACGGUACCGUAAGAAUAAGCACCGGCUAACUACGUGCCAGCAGCCGCGGUAAUACGUAGGGUGCAAGCGUUAAUCGGAAUUACUGGGCGUAAAGCGUGCGCAGGCGGUUUUGUAAGACAGACGUGAAAUCCCCGGGCUCAACCUGGGAAUGGCGUUUGUGACUGCAAAGCUGGAGUGCGACAGAGGGGGAUGGAAUUCCGCGUGUAGCAGUGAAAUGCGUAGAUAUGCGGAGGAACACCGAUGGCGAAGGCAAUCCCCUGGGCCUGCACUGACGCUCAUGCACGAAAGCGUGGGGAGCAAACAGGAUUAGAAACCCCGGUAGUCC
rnacentral:rRNA from 1 species